rnacentral:lncRNA from 1 species
GAGGCUCCAAUCGAUUAUGGCUCCUUGCCUUUGUAUCAUUCUUCACCAUCGCUUUCCUUCUUACACUAAUCUACACGAGAGAGACUUUACCUAUAAAAACCAUCACCACCACCAUGGCCACUGGCUCCGCUUCUAGCUCCACCUUUGGCAAUAAUGCUCCACUGCCAACAACAGUAAUCAAUACUCUCCUCCACUAUGCCUCGAGAUCCAAUGACAGUUUCCAUAUGUCCCAUGCCGAAAUCAAGCCAAUAUCUGAUGUACUUAGAAAGUGUUCAUCUCCUUGUAACUUUCUUGUUUUUGGUCUAACACACGAGACACCUCUUUGGAAAGCUCUUAACCACAACGGCCGCACCGUUUUCAUCGAAGAAAACCGCUACUACGCAGCUUAUUAUGAAGAGUUGCAUCCUGAAAUUGAUGUCUUUGAUGUCCAAUACACAACCAAGAUGAAAGAAAUGAGAGAGCUUAUUGCCUCCAC